UUUUUUUUCGUUUUUAUUUUGUUUUUAAUUAACUUAUUUUUCUCAUUUUUUUACUUUAUCUUUCUUUUAGAAACCUGUUUAAAUUUUUUGAAAUAUUUUUUGGAAUACCAAAAAAUGUUUCUGUUUAAAAAACUUGGUUCCGUUUGGUGGAGGUGAAAAAAAGUUCUUCGAGACUUGCCCUAUGGUCGGCUACGGCCAGCCGCGACGGCGCCAACACCCGAAGGAGACGGUUUUCUUCUUGGAGACGUCGGUCGGUCGGGUCUGCCCUACGCCCCUACCUCUUCCUACCUCACCGUGACUCGUUUGAAAACCAUAACUAUGGUGGGCGGUGACAACACUCUGUGUGUCGUGUCUUUCUUGAAGGUUUCAUCGUGAGAGCAUUGUAGUGGUGGGCACCAUGUGGUCUCGUUUGCAUCUGCUGAUGGCGCGCCCUUCUCCCUCUAGCGGCAUCUGCUUCAGCGGAAACCCUAGAUCUGGGUCUCCCGAUCGGCUGAUGAUGGGGACUUUAGUGUUGUUCUCCUUCUUGGGGGGCAUUGUUUUAGAGUAGGUACUAACUAAAGGGGCCAAUAGGUGGAACGAUGUUGUAUCUACCGCAUUGAAGACGACGGGUCUCGACGACCUGGCAUAGUGGAGUCUCAGCAUUGGACUCGGGUUGAUGGACACGCGUAGGCUGGUGGCGUUAUCUGACGUUGUUGCUGGCCGGCGGUUGUUGGGCCUGACAAGGUCAAUAGGUUGAUCACUCCUGCAGACAGGGACGGAGCCAGGAUUUCGACACAGGGAGGGUGAGGUUUCACACUAAGUCUCAUACGUGAAGGCUAUGUUGUAAAAAAAAAACUUAGGUUCUAGUCUAAUGGAGAUGCCAUGGUGCAAACUUAUCUUUUUCUAAUCUAUUCAUCGCAUUCUCAUGAAUAAAACUUGAAAGAAAAUUGACAUCUGACAAAAAAAAGUUCACAACACUAGAAACACAAGAUAAUCUUAUGAACUAAUAAUUUGUAGUAAUGCAAUGUAGGUGAAUAAUACAUUACCUAAUCUCAUUAUUUGUUGGAAUUGGUGAGAUGGACCUCACUGAUUCAACUCAAUCCCAAAACCAGAAUCGGCAAAAGCUAGCAUGCGAUUUUGUUGAAGCUAUCAAAGAAGAGUGGUACAAAGAGAACAAUGAUUAGUUUGGAAAUGAUAAACCAGGACUAAUCUAGGUCUCAAAAUAAACUAUCUUUUUCCUUGUUUCGUUGCCGUUCAUCGGCAAUAUCCCCGUGUAUCAGGCACUCGCCGGCGGUUGUCUCCUACCCUUCUCCGCUACUCUUGAUUGCAAUGCAAUGGAUCGCACAAGUACAAGAUUUAUAAUUGAUUCUAAAUCCGUAUGAUCAUACUUCUAUGAUUUUAAAAGAAACAAACUAAUCUGAUGUGAAAAUCAACUGCCUUUUCCCUUGUGUUGUUGAUGUUCAUCCAUGCUUCUGGUCUGCUGGGAACCGGCAGCAUGUGCAUACAUGUGCGUGGAUCUACACCCGCCUACCUGGAGCCGCCUUCCCUUCUCCACUUCUCGGUGGCAGCCCAACGAAGAGAUCCGAUCGCAGCAGCCAGCGGGCGUUAGUCUCGAUCGCAGCGGCGGCUUGGAGAGAGUAGCGAUAUGUGCGUUCGUAAUCAGGUCGUGGCUGCGUGUUAACAUGCCUGCGUGGGGGCGAAGCAAGCACAGAACAAGCGGGAAGGGAAAAAGAUUAGCGAUCAGUUGAUCGCUAUCGAGGGACGAGACGAUCGUUAGGGGGUCCCCCCCCCCCUCGUCCCCCCUUAGAUCCGUCCCUGCCUGCAGGUGUGACGGUGCAAGAUGGCGACGGCUGAUCCAGAGCGUGCGCAUGAUGCGGGUCGGCCAGAAUGGGUAGUGUGCUCUCUGCCUGAUGUCGAGCAACUGCAUGAGGCCACCGGAUUAGAUAGUGCGCAUUCAUGCGGUUCGGGCACAUUAUUAAGAUUGUAGGUGUUCGACUUUGUUUGUCAGAUAGGUGGCUUCGGAUCGAUCCAUAUAUUUAUGUUGUCAGACUCUAUUGAAUAAUAAUAAAGAUGCUCUGCAUCGAUUGAUGCAGAUGCUGGGUUAUCCUCCUUUUUCGAAGAAAACAAUUUUGAGUUUAAAUCAGAUUCCAUUGAGUUUUUUUAGGGAAGAGACCGUUCUACUAGCAAUUUGCCAAUUUGACGGAAUGCACCGGAUUAAUAGCAGAGAAAACAAACAAGUUUUUUAUAGGGGAGAGAAAACAAACAUGUUUUUUUUAGACAAAGAAAACGAACAAAUGAAAGAACAUUUUUGUCCACACCAAUUUGACAUUGAAAAGCCAGCUUCCCGGCCCACGAGAGCACGACUGACCCACCCGCAGACGCCAAACCGACUGCCACCAUUUUUCCCCAGCUCCAAACUCCACCUCACCGCCGCCAUGGGUGAGCGCCUCCUUCUGUCAGCUCCUCUCCCUGUCCCCCGCCAUCUUGCCGGGUUUUGACGGAUUCGUGGUUCGCAGGCGCCUACAUGUUCGUGUAGGAGCUAUGGAGGACGAAGCAGCCAGACCUGACGAGGCUCGUGCAGCGGCCGGCGACCGUGCGCCGUCUCGGCUCCGAGGUAAACUAGGCGUGUGGAAUGUGAUUACCUCUCGGAUCCCACGCUCCCUCGUGUUUGUUCUUGAUGCGACUAUCGUUAUUCGUCUGUAUUUUUUUGCUCUGUGCAGCUGCGUCGCCGUACUCUAGCGUGUGGAAUGUGACAAAAUGGAUGGCAGUUUGUUCUGGUGGAGAUCUGCACUUGUGCGCCUCAUGAUGCUACACACACAUGCUUAUAUUUUGGUUAUAUUUAGUCAUUUUUAUAAUUCACCCGAAAACAAGCAUGAAAAAGUUCAUUGAAACCACAUGGCCCAUUAGCACCUGAUAAUGAUAACAAUGUUCAUUUGUGGGAACUGUUUAAACAACACAGCUCAUGCAGACGUUUUGCAAAUUAAAAUUGUACGAUCAAUCAUUGUAGCAACAUGGAGACCUAUUGGGUGCAAUCUUCUUGCAAUCCGCUACCAAAAAUUACAAAAACUUCCAGAACAAAUGUACAUAUAACUCUGGACUUGUCCCGUAUGUGAUUAAAAUCGAAGUUUAAGCACAGCCUAUGUUAUGAGUAAGGAAAAGUGAAUUCUGGCAGGUUUUGUCAGAAUAAUCCCUGGUGAUAUUUGUCUUACUCGUCCACAGGUUGUAUUUAGACUUAGUUUUUCAAAGAUUAUAGAUUUUCUCAUGAAUUCUGGUAGUGGAUUAACUCGCUACAUAUAACUCAACAAGUAAAAUAUUAGUUUCAAUGAACUGUAGAACACGAGUAGUAUUAGAAAAAGGCUAGAAGUCUUAUUGCUGAGAAGAAAAGUAGAUAACUCAUUUGUUACUUCUUUUCUUGUAACUAAAAUAUCAAGUUUGCUCAUCGUUGUAGCUUCACAAGCCUAUUGAGGAGACCAAGGAAGCCAAGGAGGAUGCACUACCAGAACUUGCCUGCCAAGAUAUGCAUGGUAAUGAAAUCUUUCAGUAACCAAAAAAAACAAUCUGAAGGGGCUUGAGCCUUAAACACACACAAGAUUGGGUUGCCUGAAUCACGAGCCUUAUACACUGUGUUACGAUCACCUCAUAUUGAUAAAAAAAUCCAGGGAGCAGUUCUCAACACAUGUGAAGAAGGUAUUUGUGGUUAAAAAGGCAGAGACACGUGAAUUGGCCAGGAAGUUCUUUUGGUUGAAACGGCUUCGUGUAUCGGGUGUUCAAUAUGAAAUCAAUAUUAGUUUGAAAACCCGAUUGGAUAAAAUGAUUGGCUGCAGCAAAGGUGGUGACCUUCUUCGACAGUGGUUCUAAACCAAAAGUCCAAAACAGGAGACAAGCAUAGGAAAAAGGAGGUAAUAACAAGAUAACGAAAUGUUUCUCUUGGGCAAUUGAGUUAUCUCUUAAUUGGAAUAAAUUAUAGGUUGGUUAACCGAUGGACUAAUUGGUUUUUGCUUGUUGGCUGCUUUCUUGUGACCUGAGCCUGCGGUUACAAACUAUCUAACUUUUGAGGAUCUUAAUUUCUGAUCCUGGUUAUAUCUAUCGUGGAUGCAACCAUGUAUGUAUUUUGGAGAUGAUGCCGAUCAUAAUGUGGAUUCAAGACAUCGUUGAUUCUUGUGUAGUAUAAUAACAUGCUACUGUCCUCUUAAUCUGGUUUAGCCAGAAUAUAUGAGCUAGCAUGAAUGUGUGAAUGCAGGGAAAUUAAGUAACAGAAUUUGACUACUAUAUGUGGGUGAGAAUUGAUUUACCCAUAGUUGGCUAAUGGCAGUUGCAUAUGGGAUUGACAGUCUGCUAUGGUAAGUAGUCGAUGUAUUGUAUGUUUGAGCACUUCUUUGCGUCGUCCAUGUCAUUUAUGUAGUCUUGUUCAUAGUGGAGAGAUAAGGCUGAUAACAAUGUUAGAUACUGGAUGUAUCUAACCAUUUGAGCGACAUUUAGUAUGUGACCGACGGAGUACAUCUGUAGUUAACUUUUGGAAAUAUGCAUGUGCUGUAAUUUGACAACAAUGUUUGAUCGAUGUGUAAAUAAAUUCUGGAUAUAUGCACAUGUCUCUGUCUCGAGUCUCAAAUUUCUCUCAUUUUCCGUCAAAUGGACAUACUAGUAUGUCACUUGGUAUUAAAUAUGGAGCAACAUACAAGGUCAACCACUCAUUGAAUUCAUUAAUUAUCAUGAUUGUUUGAUGGUGCGAUUUGCUCCAGUCAUUCACAUGUAUAAAUAUACAAGCCAAGAAAUGUCUCUACACACUAGAAUUCAUGCCAGGUGAGUGCAUCGAGCAUGGGGAUGUGGGGGGAAGAAGCAAGAACCUUGAGGCAUGAGAGGUAUCAGGACAAACAUUGCUUUAUUACAACGGCAGAGAGGAGGCGGUGCAUAUCAAGCAAAAUUUAGUUAGGCUAUUUGCACAUUAGAAGUCAAAUGAUGAGUGCUACAAAUCUGUUGGCCUCCAAGUGUUCAGUUAGGUGAUAGCGGACAGUUUUGUUAUAGCUUAGUGAAGUGGUUCUCAGCUAUCUCCUCUGCUCUUCGACUCCGCUUCGGAGUUCAGUCCUGACACAAUGUGAGUUGACCACCAACAACCAGAAACAACAAAACAGUCGGCAACUAUAGAAGCUAGUCACCACAUUGAAUUAGCCUUUCACUACUUGAGUCAGUCUUUCUACCUAGAAAUCUGACACACGGAGCUAAGGGAACUAGAGGUGCAUCAGCAAUUGUACAUUGUAUAUCACUAUCACAUUCUAAUGUGAUGUAGAAAAGUUCACUGUAUGUGCAGAUUCAAUUGGAUACAAAACCAACCACUUACUAAACCAACCGCUUACAAGAAACAACUCUAGACAUUGCGUUCAGUAAGAGGCCAGUGCCACAUAUCAAGUCUUUUGCAUGGUAGUACAUGAAAGAUGCAUAACAUUCGGCCAGGAUACUGAGUUCCUCACUUUUUUAAGCCGCUAGAAACUGAUCCUCGGUCAAAUAAGGCACACAAAUCAACACUACAAGCUAAGUAUGCAAACGUUAUCAUCAAUUUGUGUGAACUAGAACUUUUAGAGUUGCUAAAAUAACCUCAAUUUAACAAGCUUACAACACAUCUCUGCAAUGAACCUCCCAACUCAAUUUCAGCCUUCUGAAGCAUCAAGACCCAACCUUAUGAUUCUCUUUGUUGAGAACUUCAGACCGAAUUUGCGUGCUGAGUUUCGAGAGAUCAGCCAUUUUCCACAAAGACAUGACAUUUCAAAUGUCAGACCUCAAAACUAGAGGCCAUCAUGAACAGAAGAUGCAACAUUUGUUCUUUCUAGCACACUGAAGGGAAGCAACAAAAUUUAUGAAAGAUUCAGAUUUCCUCAACCUUUGCACCUUUGUCCAAACGGCAGUGUGACUAAAAAAAACUUUGUGGACGCAGAAGGGACGGGUUUUUCAUGCUCGCGUCUGGCCCAUGUCAGCACCGAUCUGAGUCUUCCUCAUGUGUCAUGUGUGAAUGGUCGCGCAACUACAUCGUCGAAGAUGUUGCCUACUUUCAGUUCUUAUUGCGGCCCACACAACACGGCACCGGUAACAACGACUCCUCCAAAAGCUCCAACGGCUGACACAUCAUGCACGUGAAUGUUGUAGCAUUAUCCUUAACAAUCUUUGUAUUAUAGAGAAGUAAUAAUAUUGGAGAAAGGGAUAAACAAUGUCUAGUUAUCUGCUACUAUCUUCUGAAUCUCACUUGGCGAAUAUAUGAGCUAGCAUGAACGUGUGAUAUUCAUGAGAAAUAAACAGCCUAAUCUGGUUAUCAAUAUGUGGGUGAAAAUUGAUUUACAUAUAAUUGGCUAAUGGAGAAUACAUAUGAGAUUGACACAGACUGCUAAGUUAAGCGAUAUUGACAUAAUUAAGCUUGAUUAAGUAGAGAUAAGGAAUCUUGGAGAGAAAGUAAGUAGAGAUAAGGCUAAUUGACACAAGCUUCAUUAAGUACGUCCUUGUGUAACCCAUGGCAUUCAUACAGUCUUAUUCAUAAUAGGGAGAGAAGGCUGAUUGACAUGAUUUUGUUGAACACAUUGUAACGUGACAUAUUGUAACGUAGAUAGUAUAUUACAUAUGUGUUCGCGUCUAGACUAGGUAGUUAGGUGCAGGAUCUUAUCUCUAUCUCAUGUAACCAUGUCUAGCCUUAUCUCUACUUUCUUUCUCUCCAAGAUUGUAAUCUCAACAUCCUCAACUGUGUGCUCUAUCCUCCGUCCCCUCACAUCGAGGUUAAGAUGCUUAAGCCAAUCUUCACAGAUUUCAGUAUGAAUAUCUGAUAACAAUGUUAGAGCAAUGUAUAACUAAGUCCUGGAAACAUGUGUGUGUUGUAAUCUGACCAUAAUGUUAGAUCAGUGUGCAAAUAAGUUUUGGAUGUAUGCAUAUGUCUCUGUCUGAAGUCUGAAAUUUGUCUCAUUUUCCCAUCAAAUGGACGUACUAGUAUAUCACUGGGUACUCCCUCCGUUCCAUAAUUUGAACUAAAACCACGACAAUAAUUAUGGACCGGAGGGAGUAUUAAAUACGGAGUAGCAUAUGAAACACAAGUAUAUAACUAGUUCUCUUUUUUUUCCGGAAAUGCUGUUUGGUGGCCGAGCUACAUGGUGCUCUGUAUCUUGUGCGUUAGUCUUUAUGGAGAUCAGGCGCAUGCGCGUAUUAGUCUCACGUAUUUAAUCCUUCAGCAUUUACAGGCCACUGUAUUCUCCCUUUAUCAACAGUGUUUUCCCAUGUCAGGUCUUGCGGGCGCCCGCACACGUGCCAUCAUACAACCAUCACCACGCGACAGACAUGCACCAUUAUUACACCCCCAUAAUUAUUCAUUUAAAUCUGAUCCAUGGUAACUGGAGCCUUUUGUCACUUGCCAUUACUAGUUUGAGUAUACCAGACGACAAGGGAUGCUGCUUUGAAAAAUUAAAAAAUGAGAGGGGAUGAUGCUGGUAUAACGACCAUGAAAAAAUUGUCUGAAAAGCCUCAUGUAUCAAAUUCGAGUUGAAUCACAAAUUUUCUUUGCCCGAUAUAAGUAACCAUAUGACUAGAUGAUCAAUCAAUAAUAAAUACAAUCCGAAAAUCUCAAACUACUGCAAAUCCACUCCAAAAACAUCUUUCCGUCCGAAUGCAUGCGAAAGUGAUUUUUCUCAUUUUUGUGUUAUUGGGCAUAUCGUAUCUCAUAUUUUGUGUUUAUGUUUUUAUUAAAAAAAUAAUCAAGCCUUAUAAAGCACGUCCCGCUUCUCUCAAAAAAAUUGCGAUCAAUGAAGAAAAUGUGUCGCUCACAAUAUCAACGGCACGCCACCAAAAAGCGCACCAGUCACCGCUUUCUAAAUCAUCAAACACAAAGUGGUAACUUUUUUGUACAUAAAUCACGGCAACCGUAUAGCGGCAAUGCACACACAGUACCAUUACAAAACUAGUUUAUCUCUACCCCAUCCAGAACAAAAUUUUCACCGGACUGAUAAUUUACACCAAAAAAAUUCUUCUUAAUUGAUGUAUCUAAAUUUUCUGAGACACACGCGCGUGCGCACACACACUUCUAUUGUGCUAGGAGACAAUGCCGAUUGAUUGUCGAUUUUCUCCUCCCGAUCAUGCCAUAGCCAGAGAAUUUACUGUACUAUCUCGUUUUUGCACAGAUUACCUCGUACCAAGUUGUGCUACUCCCUUCGAUCUUAAUUAAUUGACGCAACGUCUAUACAAGAUUGUAUAGAGGUUGUAUAAAGCUUGUGUCAAUUAAUUUGGAUAGGAGGGAGUACCGCAUUUUCAAAAUAGAAAAAACAAUUCACCAAUUGUGUCAAACAUUUUUUAGUUUUCCCAGCACAACUAAUUUGUUGUUGGAUUCCCUGGUCCAGUUCACAUUUUGUUAUCAUAUUUUCCCAACAAGUUGGCAACGUUUUUUGUCUGUUCUGGUAUCUGUCACAGUAAACCCAUAUUUUGUUUAGUCUAUAGCAUAAAUCUCCUCUGACACGCAUAGUCCAGCAGCAAGAGCCGCUCGUAGUGUCCAGCAGCUGCAUGCAUGGUCUCUCUGCGGUCGCAGCAAACAUCUGCUCUGACACACAGUGCAGCUAGCCGUCAGCACAUCAACGCACGCCAUGUUCAUGAAAUGACCGGACAUAUCCAACGCCCAUGUACACCAACGCAUGGCACCGAUGUAUUUCCAUAAACUAGUCCGCGUAUUAUACCAAGAAAGACAGGCUGCACAGAUCGCAACGGGACAACAACUGGACAAGAUAAAGAGAGCCAUGUAGCUCGGCCUCCAAAAUGCCUCUCUCUUUUUUUUCAUGUUAAAUAGACACACUAGUAUAUAACUUGGUAUAAAACACAAGACCAGCCAAGCAUUGAAAUGCAUGCAUGUACACUGAUCGUGAUGUUCAUCAAUUAUCAUGAUCGUGUCAUGAACAUUGGUAAUAGGUGCAAUCUGAUCCAUUCACUCACAUUUAUAAAUAUACAAGCCAACAAAUGUAUACACACUUUGAGAAUAAGUCCUAGGGAAGUUCAACAAGGCACCACUACAUCGGUUCAAGGACCAUGAGGCUUGGGAGGUAUCAUGAGAAAUAUUGCUUUAUUACAAUUGAAUAGAGGGUGUCAGAGAUACACAAAUCAAGCGAAGGCGGUCUCUUCAAAAUGUGAUAUCUCUAGCUUUGUCAAUAAUUACUUAAUGUCAUGUUAACUCCUUUUGUACGUAAACCAUGUUUUCAAAUAAGUGUAUAUUACCACCAUUAACUAUAGUGCGAGUUGCCACUAAAACAAGUAUCACGGGAGUUUAAUUUUGACUGUGAACUCAAUUAUAUACCACUUAGAGGAGACCCCUAAAUUCUAAGAACAGUUUGCUUUAUCUGUCUAUUCAUAUUGAGGUGAUUUUGCCUGACGUGAUGAUUAGAUGUUAAUUAUUCCAUACGCACAAAAGUAGAGAGUGUACUCAUCGAUACUUCCUAGAAAAACGUAAGCACAUACAUUGUGAUGCCCCACUUGAUGCAUUAAUAAAACCUCUUUCUUGAAAAAUUGAGCGAGGCACUUUUUCGUUGAGAGGAAACAAGAUUUCAGUUAACCAAACAAAUAACAAGACCAUAAUGGAACUACAUCUUUCUCCACGGUUGAAGCAAAGACUCUUAUAAAAUAAGCCUUGAAGAGCGAACCAAGAAUUAGAUUAUGCAUGUACUCCCUCCGUUUUUUUUUGUAUGCAUAUAAGGUUUGGUCAAAGUCAAGCUUUGUAGAGUUUGACUAACUUUAUAUUAAAAAAUAUAAACAUUCACAAUAUGAAAUCAAUAUUAUCAGAUGCACCAUGAAACGUAUUUUCAUACUAUAUAGUUUCAGUAUUGUAGAUGUUCAUAUUUUUUUAUAUAAAUUUGGUCAAACUUUGUGUAGUUUGACUUUAACCAAAUCUUAUAUGCGGAGUAAAAAAAACGGAGGGAGUAUUAGAACACCUCUAUGUGGAACAAAACAGAUGCCACUCUUGAGAAAAAAUCGUGCAUCUUUUUUUAGGUUCUAAGACUAAUAUAGCCACUAAUACUAUAUCAUCUUAAAACAAUUUAAGUUUAAAAAUCGCUAUCUAGGCAUCCUGGAUAACAUUGGCUACCAUACACAACUUGGUAAAUAAAAAAUGCGGGUCAAAUAAAUUGAGCCAUCAUUAGAAAAAAAUUCCAAGUUAAUCAGUUAACUAUUUUGAUCCAGUUCAUGGUACUCUCCCUGUAGCCUAUUGCUAUACCAUUCCAGCAAUGGCAUCCUUGGCCAUUUAAUAACCCUUUGUGCUAGGGACCAUAAGGUUUGAGCUGCCCAAAGAUGGUAAUGUGCAUUUACACUUCAGUCGUGAAGCGGUUUUUUGUUGGGCCGCCAAAGUUGGAGACUCGUCACACAUCUUAUUCUUCGUGUCAAUUGCAGUAGCCCAUGCCUUAAAUCCAGGGAACAAUUCUCAACACAUGUGAAAAAACUAUUUGUGGUUAAAAAGGCAGAGACGCAUGACUGGCAAGAAGUUCUUUUGGCUAAAACGGUCUCGUGUAUUGGGGGCUGAGAUGAAACCAAUAUUAAUUUCAAGACCUACUUGGUUAAAAAGAUUGGCUGCGGAAAAGGUUGUGGCCUGCUUUGUUAGUAGUUCAAAGCCAAAACAGGAGGAAAGCUUAGAAAAAAUGUGGUAUUUAACUAAAUGGUUCUCUUCGGCGAUUGAAGUGCCCCUUGACUGGAAAAAAAUCAUAGGCUGGUAAUUGGGUUCUGCUUCCUAGUUGCUUUCUUGUGUUGGAGUUACUAGACAUGAUUCAGGUGAUUUGAGCCUAAGGUUAACUCAUACACAAGCUAUCCAACUUCUUUGUAUCUUAAUUUCCUAUGGUAGUUAUAUUUAUUGCAGACGUAACGUUAUCCCUAGCCCAUGUUUGCAUUUCAGAGAUGAUGACAAUAAUAAUAUGUGGAUUUAGACAUUGUUGAUUCUUGUGUGAUCUCAUUAUAGUAACAUGCUACUAUCUUGUUAAUCUGCAUUGGCCUAAAUAUAUGAGCUAGCAUGAAUGUUUGAAUAUAUGGGAAAUCAUGUAACACUACUAGGGAAAAGCUUAUACACAGAAUAUUAGCAGUAGCGCUGGGUUAAAUGAGGCGCUGCUGCUACUUAGUAGUAGCGCGUGUCAGUAAGAUGCGCUACUGUUAUACUUUUAGCAGCAGCGCGUUUUAGCGAAACGCGCUGCUGCUAAGUUUGAACUGGGGCAUAAUGGCUAGCCCCACUUAGUAGCAGCGCGUAUCCAGAUACCGCACUACUGCUAUGCUCCAUAGUAGUAGCGCUUUUCUUCGACACGCGCUACUACUAACCCUACCUUAUCGUCCCUGCGCGACCGACCCCCUCACUCUCCCUCUCACUCACUCUCUCCCCCGCGCCCCCGUCGUCCGCUGCCGCCGCCGUUCCCCGACGACCGCCGUCACCCGCAGCCGUCGUUCCUCCUCCACUGAGGUAGUCCCUCAUGCCUCCUCCUCCCUCCUUCCCUCCUCCAUCCUUCUCCAUCUGCCCCCUCCUCUCUCCACCACUGGGCGCCCCUCCUCCACCNNNNNNNNNNNNNNNNNNNNNNNNNNNNNNNNNNNNNNNNNNNNNNNNNNNNNNNNNNNNNNNNNNNNNNNNNNNNNNNNNNNNNNNNNNNNNNNNNNNNNNNNNNNNNNNNNNNNNNNNNNNNNNNNNNNNNNNNNNNNNNNNNNNNNNNNNNNNNNNNNNNNNNNNNNNNNNNNNNNNNNNNNNNNNNNNNNNNNNNNNNNNNNNNNNNNNNNNNNNNNNNNNNNNNNNNNNNNNNNNNNNNNNNNNNNNNNNNNNNNNNNNNNNNNNNNNNNNNNNNNNNNNNNNNNNNNNNNNNNNNNNNNNNNNNNUUUUACUGUUUUUAGUAAGUGUUUAAUAGAAUUAUUAAGAAAAUUAAUAGAACUAGUUUAUUUUUAGUAAUAAUUAGUUUAUUUUUAUUUAUAGUAAGUUCUUAGUUGAACUAGUUAAAUUAAUAGAACUAGUUUAUUUUUAGUAAGAACUAGUUUGUUUUUAUUUAUAGUAAGUGUUAAGUUGAACUAGUUGAAUUAAUAUAACUAGUUUAUUUUUAGUAAGAAAAUUUAGGUAUAUGAGAUUUGAUGAUCUAAUUAAAAUUUUACUAUAGAACUAGUUUAUAUUUAGUAAAAAAAAACUAGUUUAUUUUUUUAUGUCAUUAUCACUUUGUCAUCAAAGAAUGCUAUAUGAGAUCUGAUGAUCUAAUUAAAAUUUUACUUGAUGGAAUAUGCAGGCUUAGUCGUGUCUCCUUGGAGUGAUCGUCAUCCGAGCUACCUCCACUUCCUCUAUACCCGAGUCCGUGAGCUAAAAGUCCACCUCCUCCUUCUCCACCUUCCUCUACAUCCGAACUAGGGUAUUUAGUUAUUCUUCUUAAUCAAAUGAAAUGUUUGGAUUAUAAGCUAUAUUGAAAUGUUUUUGUCAAUAUUGAACCAUUGAAAUGCAAUGAGCACUAGUUUAUGCUCAUGUGCGAAGUGUCCAUUCAUUUUCAAGUGACCUAUGUUUUGCCGGAGUGUUGAUUCAUUUCCAUUCCGGCAAAUUUCAGGCUCUCGAUAUGUCCUAUUUUAGCAAAGGUCAUGUCGGAUUUUUCCAUGAAUUUAAGCAAGACUUGUGCUAGAAUAUGUAGGAAAUAUCGAGUGCCCCGGAUUUGCUAGAAAGAGAACUAAACGACAUUUCGAGUUGACUUUAAGUCUGUCGGGGCUCCAUCCAUGACUGUCCAAAAAUCGGUGAGGGAGAGUCUCCACCAUAUAUGAGAGAAGAAUGCCGACUGUUGUCGUGGGGGUCGCUUUUCCUUCUUCUCUUUGUGCUAGACCUCUGUUAUGCACUAGGGGAAGAAGGAGUAGCGACCAUCAUCAACGGUCGAAAAAUCGGUGACGAAGUGUCCAUCAUAUAUGAGAGAAGAAGAAUGUCGACUGUUGUCGUGGGGGUCGCUUCUCCUUCUUUUCCUUGUGCUAGAUAUUUGUAAUGCACUAGGGAAAGGAGGAAUGGCAAUCAUCACCAACGGUCGCAAUAUCAGAGAGGGAGUGCCCACCAUAUACGUGAGAUGAGAGUUUAGGAAGGAUGACUCGACAGACCUAAAGUCCACCCAUUACAUAUUGAGUAAUAGUGAUAUGUGUGUUGAGUUUUCUGGUAGUUGCCUUCGGUCGAUUUUUAACUAAUGUUUCAACUAUGAACAUAGGAAAUGUCUGAAGACAAAAAGGAAUUCUGUAUGUGCAAAUACUGCGAAGACAAGCGCGGCCUAUGCGACAGGCCUCACCUAGUUGGUGGUAGGCGCUUCAACAUCAAGCUGGAUGACACCUUCAAAGUGCAUACAGUAAGUCACAAUGACAAGUCUUUUCUUGUAAUUAAGCAUGACUUCUGCUUCUUUUGCUUCAACUUAUAAUUUAAUUUUUUUUUACUAUUCUACUAGCAUAUCCCCUGCCAUGCAAGAAUAUAUGUCUUGGAUAAGGUUGGUUUCAGUACUAUGGAAACUAUGGUGGUAAAAAGAGUUAACUUGAGGACCGAGCAUGGUUAUAGUUUUACCACAAAAUUAUACAAUACAGACACCUACACCCAUUUUGAAUGCAAACAAUGGAGAGCACUAUGCAAGGCUUAUGCAUUUGAGCCUGAUAUGCUUAUCACCUUUGAUAUUCGUCCGGAAGAUGAUAUUGAAGAUAAUAUUGACAUCUGGGUCGAUGUGCAGACGCCUCCAGUUCUACUAUUAUGUAAGUUUCUCAACCAUGUUUAUGUCUUUGAUAUUGUUUAUUAAAAAAUACUUGACAACUAAUUUCUAUUGACAGCUUAUUUCCAUUCAAGCAAACAUGUCCAGCGCUUGGUAGACAGGACCUACUACUGUCCCGGGGCUGAACUAAACUACGAGGAGACAAGUCAUUAUGUUUCAUGGCUUGAGGAUCUUCAUACUGUCAAGACAAAUUAUUUUCCUGGACUUAGAAAUCUUAGUACUCAAAACGUGCGACCAAUAGUGUUCGUACUGAACUACGGUCACAUCUAUUUAGGAAAGAUGGUAAGAUUUUACUAUUUGUCCUCAGUGCAUCUUUUGCAUACAUUAUUUUUUAAGCUAAACUUCAUUGCUAAGUAUGUUACUACAUGUUCUUCAACAGGGACUCUCCAUGAUAGUUGUGCCUCUGUGGAUCGAAGCUAAAGGUCGCAUGUCCAUGGUUAGCAUACGGCCAAGACUUCCUACAUUGCACAUGAGUGCAUUCAGGAUUUCUAGAAGCGAGCAAGUCUUAAUAGUCAAAGAUGGAACAAAAUUGUGAAGGAUCGCAGAGAAGUACUAGGGGGCAGCAAUCAGAAGCGCAGCCCACAAUUAGGAGACGGGUUCAUCUGCAUGCUUCAAUAUGAUGAAUCAGGAGCGCUCCACAUGUUCUAUGCUAUUUUACCUAAGAGAGAGCAGUAGGAGUGAUUAGCUAGCUAGAAUGAGUGUUGGUGGUGAUGACUAUGAUGAUUAAUAUUACCUAGUGUUGAUGGUGGUUAGCUAUGACUAUGAUGAUUAAAUAGUGUUGGCGGUAAUAACUAUGAUGAUUAUUAGCUAGUGUUGUUGGUGAUGAUAUGAUGCAAGAGUUUUUAUAUUAAUAUGAUGAUGAUGAUGAUGAUGAUGAGUACGUUAUUAUAUCACUGGGUGAAAGGACCGUGGAUUAGUUUUAAGUGGAUGGAUCCUAAGUGAUUAAGUCAUGGAUUAUCGUGAUAAUCCAUGACUUGGUCACUUAGGAUCCAUCCAUUUGAACCAAUCUGUGGUUCUUUCAUCUACUGAUUUAAUAACUCAUUAUAAUGUAAAAACAAUCUCUAAAUUGCUACUGUAUGAAAAAAAUGUAUAAAGCUAAAAUUUAAAAGAAAUAGAGUACGGAUAAUAGUAGUAGCACGAGCAGAGAGAAGCGCUACUAGUAAUUACCAGUAGCGGUUAUUUGAGAAAGCGCUACUACUAAGUAGAUAUAGCAGUAGCGCGUGCCAGCAGGCGCUACUGCUAAGCUUUAGCUUUAGCGUCGUAUUAGUAACGCGGUUACCCGCGCUACUGAUAGGCCAAAAACCAGCGUACUGCUAGGUUUUCCCUAGUAGUGUAACUGAAUCAGAUCUAUAAUACCUAAAUAGUUGAUCCCCACUAUGUUAUUUCUCUAGACAUGCAGGCUAUCCACAUCAACAAACCUGCCACAUCAGUUGGUGAUCCACGUCAUGUCAAUUAGGUUAUCUAUUCACGUACACCAGAUUCAAUCAGGUUCAAUUUAGUUUGGAAACCGAACAGUUAGGUUGGGUUGGACUCCUUUGCUUCCCCUCCCUGUGUAAUUAUGUAUACCGCACCAUAUUCUUCCCCUCCCCUCCACUUUCCCAAUUUCAGGGCAUCUUCUCCCCUUCCAUUCUCAACCGAUUCCUUUCCAUGUGUAUAAAUCUGCACUUCCUCUCCCACGCUUCCUCCCGCACAAGGCCACUGCUUCCCAUGCUACGGGUCCUUCAAUUGAUGCCGCCUCCUGCUGAUUGUAGGCACACCGGUGCUCUUGCCGUCCUUCCAGCGGUGGUGAUCGUGUCGGAUUCUCACCAUCGUUUCUCUGGAAGAAGAGAUCAACACCCCGAAUCAUCAUGUACUCAUCUUAGCUACUGCAGGAGAACCCCAUUGCUAUUGCGCCUUUCUCCCUCAUCCACCAUGGCAUCAUGAUAUUUCAUCUCCAGCAAUACCAACGUAUGUGCAGGGCAGAUGACUUCUUCCUAUGCUAUUUUUAUUUUCUGACAUUAUGCAUGCUACGUCAUGAUCAAUCAAGGAAAAAAAUCAAACAAAGGGUUGUGCAUGUGCUUUAUUAUACUGUACUCCCAUGUUUUUCUUUUGAGGAAUUAGCAACUGAUGCCUAUUGGAUGCUUGAAGAAAUGCCUCAACCACCUAACAAAUUUCUUAGUAAGUACUCCCUUCAGAAUAUUAGGGAGAUAGCUUUUGCUACUUGCUAGAGUUUGAAUCUGCCUAAUGUAUUACUGCAGGUAAUCCACGUUGACCACAAUUCUUUGAACUUGGAGCACUCUUUUCCCUGAUAAUCAAGUUCUGCACGUGGGCACUAAUGGCUACUACUGAUGGAGUGAAUGGAUGGCUCAAAUAAAAUUUCUUCACUACAUGUUUUUCCCUUUUUUGUGAAUGUGCUUCUGCACUAAAUGACAGAACUGCAUUAGACUCUACACCAGUAUAUCACCCAUUCCGGUCACAGCAAUAAGAAUGCCACUGAAUUUGUGAAAUAUACAGUUGAGAAUACUAUAAAACAACCGCAACUGUAUGAUUAUCCAGUUGUAACUGCUGAUUGAGAAUCCUAUGAAGCAACCACAAUUGUAUGAUUAUCCAGUUGUAACUUCUGACAUAGUAAGAAAUGGAAUAACACAUUUACUGUGAUUUUACUAAGAGCAUUGACCACAUUUCAAAAGCAUUAUCAAACUCAGUUUUGAACAGGAAUGUCGUUUUUUAAACUAAACAAUUAUCAUGCAAAGGUUGUGAAUUAUAUGUAAUCAUGUAUCCAUGUUUUUAUCUUCCUAUUAUAUUGUGAGUCGAACUACUCUUCUUCAUUACUAACGUUUAUCCUAUACAAUGCUAUGAUCCCGCAGCAACACGCGGGGAAUUGUCUAGUUUUCUAUGUGUGGGUGAGGAUUAGUUUACCUAUAUAUAGUUGGCAACAAUUGCAUAUGGAACUAAAAUAGAUUGUCAAGUUAAGUAGUUGGCCAUAUAGGAUGUGCACCGCUUGCUUGACUAAGCACAUCCUUGUGAUAUCCAUGUCAUUUAAUAUGGUCUUACUCAGAACCAAGAGAUAAGGCUGAUUGUUUAUGAUUUCAAUAUUAAUAUCUAAUAACAAUAUUAGGUUGAUGUGUAAUUAAUUCCUAGAAGUAUGCGUGUGUUGUAAUAUGACAACAAUGUUAGACCAAUGUGUAAAUGAGUUAUGGGCAUGUGCCUCUACACGGAAUCUGAAAUUUCGCUCAUUUUCAAUCAAAUGGACAUACCGGUAUUAUUACUAUAUAACUUGAUAUUAAAUAUGGAGCUAGCAUAUAAGUGCAACCAAGCAUUGAAUUCAUUAAUGAUUGUGAUAGUCUCGCGGUCACCGAAUAUAGGUGUGAUUUGUUUCAGCCAUUCACAUGUAUAACUAUGCAAGCCAAGACAUGUAUACACAUUUUGAGCAUUCAGAUCAGUCAGAGUUUUAUAAGACACCACUAUAGCAUAUGGAGAGGGGGGAGGGGGUCUCAGGAACCUUGAGGCUUGAGAGGUAUGCAGACAACUAUUGAUGUAAUGCAAUGGCAUAGAGGAGGUAGUGGAUCAAUAACUUUAGCAAGUCUCUGUGAAGCUACUUGGGCAUGAGAAUGUAUCUUGUGCAAUGAGCUAUCUGAUGCAACGGGUGCACCAGCUCAAUCUGACCCGCCGGAUGCACAAUAGAGGGACCAGAUUGCAUAAACAUAUAGGCUGCUGGUACAUUUUACAUAUUGCUCCUCGAAGUCAGAAAUCGUCCUUUUGCGCAACGGUUUUUCCCAAAAACAGCGUCUGUUUUGUCCUCCCGUCUCCUGACCUGAGAGUGCCAGAGUGAUUCAGAUCGCAAGCUAGGGUUAGCGACUCACAUCAUCACAUUUCUCGUACCCUCCGCUCGGCUGCCCAACCUUCUGCGCCCUCUAUCUUGUAGCUAGUUUCGUUGCCGGCGAAGCACCAGCGCCCCUCCUCUGCUCUUAAAUAGUCGUCCCUAGUUGAGUUCCCAUUGCCACCCGCGAGCGCCUGAAUGCAGCACUGCUACACUAUAGUUCCGAGGGAUGUUGACGCAACAACUGCAAAGGAGUCAGCCAUCUUCUACAGCUCCAGGAUCCAGGGUGUGCUCUUUUAAUUGUCCAUGUACUAUGGCCAUGUAUGGAACAAUUUAAUGUUUUUUUGUGGUUCAAGUGGAUUUAUGUCAUGCAUAAUCCCAUAUUGUUUGACCCGAGAGACUGGUUAUGCUUCAGGAAAUUUAUGCUCAGGAAGUUGCAGAAAUAUAUGUUUUGUUGUAGGAACAACCGGUUCAGAGUUUAUGUUCUGCUUCAGGACUAAUUGAUGAGCCAGUUCAAGUUAAGACUAGUUUUCACCAUGAUGCAUAUCUUUGUUCUGUACUAUAAUUGUGUUUCAGCCUUUUCCGUGAAAUGCUGCGGCGGGAUGUUAAUUGUAUUGUGUUUAAGUAGUCCAUCAAGACUUGAACUGUCUGGUAGCACUUUAAUCAAAUUAGAAUGUGUACUGAAACUCUGCAAAAUUUAAAGUUUUUUUGUGGGGUGCAAAAUUUAAAAGAUAGUCAGUAACCUUACUAUCACGUACACAAAAGGGUUCGGACGUCGUGUAAGAACAUGAGAGAUAAUAUAUUUCAUAAGGAAAACUUUGUUUCUAGACAAUUCGUAAAAGAAUGCCAUCUGCUAUCAAUUUUGACAUUUUCAAGCUCCGUAUUUCCUUACACAUACAUUAGUGUGCAUUCCUAUGGAAGCAUUCAGACAAUAGUAUCUCUUUGCUUUAGCCAAAUGAAUGAGCACCAUGCAGCUCCCCUGAUCAUCCGAGAAAGACCGACUUGAUGCAGCUAGAACACUAGCUUGUACAACAAACUAUGUUUUUUCAGACGAGCCUGUAGCUAAACAUGCAGACGAUACAUGAAAAUCACGACAAUCAUCAAUUUUCAGAUGCAUAUGGUGAUAGACUUUGAGAUCGGAGUAGGCUAGUAGAUCCGGUAACCUACCUCCUCCUGGUGCGGACGAACUCGAUCCAGCACCGGCCAUGAUGGUGUGGUGACGGCGGCGACGUGGACUGAGAUGGCGGCGGCAGUGUGCUUCCCGUGAGCACCGCGCUUACCCUAGAUCGGUAGGGAGUGUUCGGUGGGGUUUGUGGCGGCGUUCAACCUCGUGAGACGUGCCCCGUCCCCCACCUCUAUUAUAUAGCACGGGUCACAGGGGCCCACCAACCAUGGUUUGGUUGGGCGCCCCCGAUCAGGGCGUGAGUCAGGGGCCCGUUCGACCCGUUGGGUUCGAACGGGAUAGAGAUCAAUCUAACAUUCUCCCCCUUGAUCUCAACUUUACUUUUUACCUUAUACUUUCUAUUUUAUUUGUUUCAUCACAUAUUGGUACAUAGAGCAUGUUUCAUCGUCGCAGCUCAAUUGCCGAUAGAAUCAUUCAGCUACAACAUACGUUUUGUUCAGAAACAAAUUCUGUUCCUUUUGGGCCUAUCCAGGAAUCAUAAGGCUUUCCCUUAAACCCAUGCCGGCUAAGUAUUCCUUGAACACAUUGGGUGGUAAGCCUUUCGUUAGCGGAUCCGCAAGCAUAUCUUUUGUCUUUAUAUGCUCGAGACUUAUAGUUUGAUCCUGGAUUUUAUCUUUCACAACAUAAUACUUUAUAUCUAUUAUUUUGGCAGCAUUACUCGACUUGUUGUUGUGAGCGUAAAAUACCGCGGGCUGAUUGUCGCAGUACAUCUUUAGUGGUUUGUGAAUACAAUCUACCACUUUCAAGUCGGGUAAAAAUUUCUUUAGCCAUAUUGCCUGCCCCGUGGCUUCGAAGCAUUCUAUGAAUUCUGCAUACAUCGUGGAUGAUGCAACUAUCGACUGUUUGGAGCUUUUCCAUGAAAUAGCUCCCCCAGCAAGGGUGAAUACGUAUCCUGGCGUGGAUUUUCUAUCAUCUUUGUCCCCCGCAAAAUCUGCGUCUGAAUACCCUUUUAUCUCUAGGGAAUCAGAUCUCAUGUAUGUUAGCAUGUAGUCCUUCGUGCCUUGCGCAUAACGCAAUGAUUUCUUUAUCAUCUUCCAGUUCUUUAUGCCUGGAUUCUCUUGAUAUCUACCGAGUACCCCGGUGAUAAAGGCUAAGUCAGGCCGAGUGCACACUUGUGCAUACUGCAAGCUGCCAACUGCCGAAGCAUAUGGUACUCCUUUCAUUUGAUCGAUCUCGUACUGGUUUUUGGGACAUUGGAAUUUCCCAAAACUAUCGCUCUUAACUAUAGGAGCAGGUGUGGCUUUACUCGCAUGCAUAUUAUAUUUUUUUAAGAACCUUUUCUAAAUACGCUUUCUGCGAUAGUCCUAAGACUCCAUUGUUUCUAUCUCGGUGAAUUUCUAUGCCCAAAACAUAUGAUGCUUCACCAAGAUCUAUUAUGUCAAAAUUCGAGGAUAAGAACUUCUUUGUUUCUUGUAGUAGAUUAACAUCACUGCUAGCAAGCAGAAUGUCAUCCACAUACAAGAUUAGGAAAAUAUAUUUCCCAUUUUUAAACUUUGCAUAAAUGCAGUUAUCCUCAAUAUUUUAUUUAAAACCAAAACUUUUAAUCAUUUGAUUAAACUUUAAAUACCACUGCCUAGAGGCUUGCUUUAAUCCAUAAAUGGAUUUCUUGAGGCGGCAUCCCAUAUUUUUCUUGUCUUCCAUGAUAAAACCCUUGGGCUGUUUCAUGUAGACAUUUUCUUUUAAAUCUCCGUUGAGAAAUGUCGUCUUUACAUCCAUUUGAUGUAACUCUAAAUCAAAAUGAGCAACUAAUGCCAUUACCAUUCUGAAGGAAUCCUUACAUGAGAACGGAGAAAAUGUCUCUUUGUAAUAUAUCCCUUCUCUUUUUUGUAAAUCCUUUUGCCACGAGUCGUGCUUUAUAUUUUUCUAUAUUCCCUUUAGAGUCAUACUUAAUUUUGUAGACCCAUUUGCAGCCUACUGAUUUGGCUCCUUUAGGAAUUUCCUCUAAGUCCCAAACAUCUUUGGAACUCAUUGAUUUCAUCUCGUCUUCCAUUGCCUUCGUCCACAUCGAUGAAUGAGGGCUUCUCAUGGCUUCUUCAUAUGAGGUGGGAUCUUUUUCCAUAUGAACCAUUUCUGUGUUAUAAACUUUAAAGUCAGUAGAAAUAGCUGACUUUCUUGGUCUUGUAGACCUUCUAAGGGCCUCAGUUUCUGGCACAUUCUGUGCCUCAACUUCUGGUACUUCUUCUAAAAUGUGCUGCUGCACCUCCCUUUCAUGCUCAACAACGGGUUCAGUCGGCUCCUGACGGACAGGUUCCGGGUCUGCUCCCAUAGUUGUCAUGGGUGGAGUUGCAACUGGUAGUGAGAAAAAUGGCUCCUGGAUCAUCGGAUUAGGUGCAUGCACCCUCUUCUCCUCAAGAUCAAUUUUCCGAGCUACCAAGCUCCCCCUCAUCAUUUCGUCCUCUAAGAAGACUGCAUGUCUCGUUUCUACAAACUUUGUAUAUCUGUCUGGGCAGUAGAAACGAAAACCCUUUGAUCUGUCUGGAUAGCCAAUGAAGUGGCAACUCACUGUUUUGGGAUCUAACUUUCUAAUGUUUGGAUUAAACAUUUUGGCCUCAGCAGGGCACCCCCACACCCUGAAGUGUUGUAGGGAUGGCACCCUUCAUGUCCAUUGCGCGUACGGUGUUUUGGGCACCGACUUGCUUGGUACUCUAUUGAGAAUGUGAAUGGCGGUUUUAAGCGCCUCCAUCCAUAAUCCCAAUGGCAAGUUGGAAUAACUCAUCAUGCUGUGCACCAUAUCCAUAAGUGUACGGUUGUGCCUUUCAGCUACUCCAUUUUGUUGAGGUUCGCCCGGCAUUGAAUACUGGGCAACUAUGCCAGUCUCCUGCAAGAACUUUGCAGAAGGUCCAGGGACUUGGCCAUAUGGAGUGUGCCGACCGUAGUACUCUCCCCCAUGGUCGGACCUAACUAUCUUUAUUCUUUUAUCAUGCUGAUUUUCAACUUCAGCUUUGAAUAUUUUAAAUUUAUCCAACACUUUAGAUCUUUCUUUGAUUGGAUAAAUAUAUCCAUAGCGAGAGUAAUCAUCUGUGAAUGUUAUGAACGAGUCAUAUCCAUCCACACUUUUCACCAGAAAUGGUCCACAAAUAUCAGUGUGGAUGAUUUCUAGUGUGCCUGUGCUAUGGAUUGCAUCUUUUUUGAUUUGUUUUACAUACUUUCCUUUAACGCAAUCUAUGCAUUUUUCUAAGUCUGAAAAUUCUAACGGAGGAAGAAUUUCACUUUUGACUAAUCUUUCUAUUCUCCCCUUCGAAAUAUGGCCCAAGCGACAUUGCCAUAAUUUCGAUGAGUCGAAUGUUCUUUUUCUUUUCUUUUGCUCUUUAUUCGACGCGGAAACAUUUUCUUUCACAUUGCAAACGGAAUAAACUUUUUCACGUAGUGAUAACAAAUAAAUCUCAUCAUGUAGUAAAGCAUCACCCACAUAAGCAUUAUUAUACCAAAUGGCACACUUUCCAUGUCCAAAAUAACAUUCAUAAUUAUCUUUGUCCAAACAAGAAACACUAAUUAAGUUUCUAUGACAUGAUGGAACAAAUAAAACAUCUCUAAGUAGAAGAUUGAAUCCGCCAUCUAACUCCAAGGAGAUGUCACCGACAGCUUCAACUUCUUCUUCAACUCCGUUUGCCACUUCAAUGCGUCUUUUGCUUCUUAGCGUAGUUUGCGUCGAAUGGAAUCCCUGUAAAGAAUUUGCAACAUGAACUGUUGCUCCUGAAUCAAUCCACCAACUGGAUUUUGAAAACUGUGUAUCCAAGGAUUCAUUUACAAAUGAAACUAUAUUGUUACCUCUUUUGCCAUGACUGACUUCAGCCAAGCAGCGCAGUCUUUCUUGUAAUGCCCUUUCUGCUUGCAGUGGAGACAAGUGUCUUUGUCCACUGAGAAAGGUUGUUGCUGAUGCUGAUGUUGAUGGGGGGCUUUUCCAUGCUUUGAAGGAGAACUUUUGUUGCUUUGACUGUAGUUCUUUUUCUUGUAAUCCUUCACAUAGUUGAGUGAACCACCAUGUGCGGCUUUGAGUCUUUCCUCUUCUUGGACACACAUUGCUAUUGUCUUUUCAAUGUCCCAUAUUCCAGGGGUCAUAUUAUAGUUUACAACAAAAGUUUCAAACUCCUUUGGCAGUGAAGCCAUGACCAGGUGGACCAGGAGCGUUGGUUUGAUCUCCAGAUCCUCAUCCAUGGGCUUUAGCUUUGCUGCCAUAUUGCUCAUCCUCAGGAUGUGCUCUCUUAUUCCAUGACUACCACCCGUGUAGCGUUGUGUCACCAGUUGCUCUAACACUUGGGUGGCAUAUAUCUUUGAAGAGCCAGUGAACUGGCUCUUUAUCUUUGUAAGCAACUCCCCUGCGGAAGUGCACUCUGCAAUGGAGCCCACAAUGGCGCUCUCAAUUGUAUUCUUUAUAAAUGUCAUUCACUUUUUGUUUGCAUUGACCCACUUUUGGUUAUCUAUGAGGUAGGACUGCUCCAAAGGAGCAUAGUCCCACUUCUUUUUAGCCCAUGCAGCAUCAUCAUCAGUGGCCUCUCUUACUGGCUCUGUGGGUAUGGCCGGUUGUGGUUUCUCCACAACCCAGUCAAGAUCAGCACAAACAAAUGCCAGUUCAACUUUCUUCCUCCACUCAGUGUGGUUGUCACCUCUGAGUGCCGGAACUUCUUUUAGGCAACUCAUCAAGUGAAAGCCUCCUUCUCCUGGUGCGGACGAACUCGAUCCAGUGCCGGCCAUGGUGGUGUGGUGACGGCGGCGAUGUGGACUGAGAUGGCGGCGGCGGUGUGUUUCCCAUGAGCACCGCGCUUACCCUAGAUCGGUAGGGAGUGUUCGGUGGGAUUUGUGGCAGCGUUCAACCUCGUGAGACGUGCCCCGGCCCCCACCUCUGUUAUAUAGCGCGGGUCACAGGGGCCCACCAACCAUGGUUUGGUUGGGCGCCCCUGAUCAGGACGCGAGUCAGGGACCCGUUCGACCCGUUGGGUUCGAACGGGAUAGAGAUCAAUCUAACAUAUGGAACAUGAGAGAUCUCCAAAAUAACAAGUAGAACGUGGUUGGGUAAGAUUAAACUUUGUGCUGUAGAGAAUGCUGUAGAGAAUGUCAGUAACAUUCCUGAGCUUACUCAUGUAUAAAACAACUUAUCCAUACUUGUCGUUGCUUCACUCCUACAAUCUAAUAUAAUGUGUUACAGGAAAUUCAAAAAAGAAGACAAGUAUGGCAGAUCUGAAAAUGUUAUGGGUCAACUGAAGAAUUGCCUAAUCAAAUCAAGUGUCUAAUAGUCCACCUGUACUUAGUAUGCUGCUAGCACAUAUAUAUGGAUUCAAUUUACGUGCAUUGUGGCAUAUACAUGAACUAUUCCUCAAAUAUUUGGCAUCAUGCUGAGCUGUACCAUGUUUCUACUCACACGACUAAACCAUAUGACAGCGACAACAGUUUCGGAGCGGAGCAGAGGAGGGGCGUGUGCUUCAGAGGCGCCGGAAGUAGGUACACAAGAGAGGGGAGAAAGUUGGGUUGGCCAAGAGAGCGGGCGAUGUAAGCUCCACCUAGCACGACCUUCUCCCUUGGGCUCGCCGGCGGCAAUGGAAGCUCCACCUGGGACGGCCGUUUCAGAGAAGAGGAGGGGCGCUGGUGAUUCACCGGCAACGGAACUAUGUACAAGUGAGAGAGGGGAGAAAGUCGGGCGACCCAGGGGGAGCGGGAGAGAGAGGCGGCGAGAGGACUCGCUAACCCUACUCACGAUCUGAAUCGCCCUGGCACGCUCAGGUACAGGAGAGGAAGACGAGAUGCCAAGGAAAGAGACGAUGUCUUGGAGGAUGACUGUUUGCGCAAAUGGACGAUUUCUGAGGAGCAAUAUGUAAAAUGUACCAGCAGCCCAUAUGUUUAUGCAAUCUGGUCCCUCUAUUGUGCAUCCGGCGGCUCAGAUUGAGCUGGUGCACUCGUAGCAUCAGAUGGCCCGUUGCACACGAUACAUCCUCACUUGGGCAUUACAAGUCAAAUGACGAAUCAUACAUGUCUGUGGGCCAAUGACCCUCUGUAUUUUGUACUGCCUUGAAGAUGUGAUUAGAGAAGUGGGGUCUAUGCCGUGUCGGUGAUAGGUGGCAUUGUUCUUCAUUGUUUCCCCAAGCAGCCUAUUUUGUCGUUUCAUAGGUUAGUGCUUUUUAGCAAAUAAUCUAGUCUGUGAUGGCAUGGUACAAGACUGUACUCGUCGUGUAAUCUGACAAUUUACCAAAUCAGAAGAGUUUUCACCCGAUUGACGGCCGUGUAAAUUGACCUGUGAGGUAUUAAAUUAUUUCCCCUCUGCUACUUUUUUUUGUUGAUCAGCUCAGUGAGAUAAACACACCAUGAAGCCUGCACUGUGCUUCCUGGUGUUUCAAUUGUGGCAAUCGUGUCCGUAUGAACUCUGAGAAUUAAUGGAGAAACUGACCAUGAUUGUGUCAGAAAUGUGUUGCGGAGCGUGAAACAUGCUAGAGAUCUCUCAUCCCAUGCUUGAGUUGCAUGGAAUUGAAUAUCCCGUUUGCGUGAAUCUGAGAACGCUUCAAUUUUAUGACGAAUUGUGUUAUGCCAGAAUUCCUGACAUAAAAUUCCCACGGGACUCAACUUGGAUUAUGUAAUUUGUUUUCUAAUUUUCCUUGGUCAAAAGAAGGUGAUUAAUAAUUCAAUGUCUCAUCCUGAAGCAUGUAUAUUAACACAUUGUCCAAUUCAAAUUCUUGUUCACAAAAAUCACCAUUGCGUCUUCUUUAAGAACAAUUCAGUCUUGUUGCAUAUAUCUUCCAAAGCAUCAUCAAGCCUUUAGUGCCUGCUUAUUAUUCUUUAACUUAACCAUAUCUUAAUUAAAUUAAUUAUAGCAACAAGUUGGAUGAAUUCAGUGCCAGCUGCAAGAUUUGCUUAUGUCAUGCAUAUAUUUCCAUGGAAGGACAACUGUCAAACAAUGAAUCCUUUGGGAGCGGACCCAAGUAUGAACAACCAAUGAUCGCCCGAAAGUUGUAUCAGUUCAAAAAUUUAACACUUUCGCUUCGAUACAACCCCCAUGUACCCCUUCAUAAUAAAGCAUAGGAUGGUCUUUAUCAAAAGCACAUCGUCUGCGCCAAGCGCGAUAUGCGGCCUGUGCGUACCGCCCUGGGCCAGUCCAUUUUACAUUUUUUUCCUGUUCUGUAAAACCUUCAAAAGGGCGGGCCAGCCCAUUUUACACUUUUUUCAUGUUUUCUAAAACCUUCAAAUAAUGAGCGCCCCAUUAGAUUCAAACCGAGCACAUGUACGCUUACUACAAGGGCAAUAACCAACUGGACUACUUCUUGUGUCUAGUUACCUUCUUUUUUCUCCCUCAAAUAUAACACUAACCAAUGUGUGAACAUUUUUUAAAAUAUAAUAAUUUUUUGGUUAAUUGAUAUGAAAUAUUUUGAAUUAUGUGAAAGUACCACUUCAUAAUAAAGGGUAGGAUGGUCUUUUUUAAAAUUACGUCGACUGCGCGAAGCGCAAUACGCGGCAUGUGUAUGUAUUGCCUUGGGCCGGCCCAUUUUACAUUUUCCCCCUUUUCUGUAAAAGUUUUAAAAAAUGAGUGUUCAACGGGAUUCAAGCCCAGCACGUAUACACUUAGUACAAGCGAGGUAACCAACUAGACUACUUUCUGUUGUCUACUUAUCAUUUUUUUGUCUUUUUCAAAUAUAACACUAACCAAUACGAGCAUGUUUUGUAUUCUUUGUCCUUUUUAAUAAAAAAUAUCUUUCUUUUUACUUUUUCCAUUUCUUUUCUAUUUUAAAUUUGCAAAACAUUUAAAUCGUGACCUUUUUCUGAAGUCUAUGAACUUUUAAAAUUCUUGAACAUUUUCUUAAAUUCAUGAACUUUAUUUUCAAAUCUGUGAACUUUUUUCAAAUCCACGACCUCUUUUAAGUUUAAACGAAUUUACUUUUAAAGCCCACGAUUUUUUAUCAUAUUUUUUUCAAAUUGAUUAACUUUUCUCAAAUCCGCGGACACUUGGGUCGGCCCAACUAGGUGGGACGAUGCGGUCACCUAGUUGGGCCAAGGCCUAACCUUUUGUUUCUCUUUUCUAUUUUUAGGUUUUUCUUUACUUUUUUCCUUAAUUCAUUAUUCUCAUUCUUGAAAAAAUAGACCUGUUCCAAACAUUGAAAUAUUGUUGGAAUACCAAAAAAAACUUGUUUUCAAAUAUAUUUUUACAAUUUUUAAAAAAUGUGCUUGUUUUUCUAUAUUUUGUUCACAAAUUUAAGAAAUGUUUGUGUUUCAAAAAAUUAGAUACAUUUUUAAAAAAGUGUGUGGUUUGCAAUAUUUGUUCAUCAUAUAUUGUUGAUAAUUUUUUAACACUUUUAGAAAAGUGUUGAACCUUGUAAAAUUUUCAUACACAAUUUGGAAUGAAAAAAUUAUUGACAAAUUUCCAGAAAUGGUUAGGAUAUAAGAAAGUGUUCAUGUUGGCUGAUAAUGACGGAAACUGCAAAUAACAAAGGUAUUCAAAUUAGGAAAAACUACAUACUCACGAAUCCACCUAUUGGGCCUUGUCUAGCACUCUUUUCUGAACUGGUGGUUUUUUGCACUAUAGAUAAAUGACCUCAUCUUCUUGCAACGGCUUGACACAAAUAUAUGAGGCGUUUGAACAAAUUCCGACAUUGUAUGCAAGUUGCGGCACGUCCGGUCAAUUAUAGGCCAUUUUUCACCGAGAAAACUCCAAAAACUACAAGAAUUGUCAAAAAAUUGAAAAAAUUGGCAUGAUGCCUUGAAUUGGUCACAUAAGCUGGUGGUAAAAAUUGAGGUCAUUUGACGGAUGUCAAAACAAUGUGCUUUCAAAAGGGCCCUUCUGGCCUAUUUGAGCACCAUCUGUCGAACAUGAUCUAGUUUUAAACAUUCUUAAAACAACCCCAACUUUUGCAGUCAUGUGGGCAUGCCCAUGGUAGGCAUCCAUGACAGGUUUGAACGAGUUUCGACACCGUAUACAAGUUACGACACGUCAGACUUUAUCAGCUUUUUUAUUAGGAAAACUUCAUAAAAAUGCAAAAUUUAUCGAAAACCAAAACAUCUUGGCAUGAUGCCUUUAAUUGGUCAUACAAGGCCAUGGAAAAAAUUGGGGCCAUUUCAAGGAUGUCGGAAAACAAUGUGCUCUCGGACGGAGCUUUCUGGUAUACCCGAACACACUUUUGUUGAACAAGAUAUAUGUUUGUACAUCCUUCAAAUGGGGAAAGUAUCUGGUGCACCGGUGGUUGUGGUGCUACCGGUGCACCAGACGACCAUAGCGCAUUCAAGAAUGUUAAAAAAACUGAAAAAACAUUAGCACAUUGGCACAACGUCGGUUCAUGUUGUCGCAAAAUUUCAACUCAAAAUUUCUGCUCGAGGUACAAAAAUCAUAAAAUUGGCACUGAAUAGUACACAACAUUAGUUGGGCUUUAGAUUUGGCCCAUUAACACACUGAUGCCAAAUUUGUUAUUUUUGUAUCUUGUGCAAUGUUUUGAAUUUUGAUUUUAAUUUUUGCAACAACAUAGACCGACGUUGCGCAAAUGGGCUACAUUGUUUUCAGAUUUUUUUAAAAUAUUCUUAAACACGCUACGACGUCCGGUGCACCGGAUACUUUCCCCCUCAAAUGACGCCAACUUUUGCAAGGUGGACAUGCCCAUAGUAGGUAUUCAUGUCAGGUUUGAACUAUUUCGACACCGCAUGUAAGUUGCGACAGAUCCUACCAUUAUCAGACUUUUUUGACCCGAAAAUUCCAGAUUUGUUGAAAACCAAAACAACUUGGCAUAAUGCCUUUAAUUGGCCAUAUAAGAUCCUGUAAAAAAUUGGGGUCAUUUGACGGAUCCAAAAAACAUGCACUCAAAGGGAGCCUUCUGGGCUACUCGAACACCCUCCAUCGAACACUCUCCGUUGAACAUGGCCUUCUGGCUUACUCAAACCUGUAGGCAGCACACUGCCGUUCAUAUUUAGUCCCAUCUCACCUGGUUACACGGAAGGAGUCAGAAAUCUUGACUAUAUAAUAGGGCAGCCUGGUUACAUGGCUGACGGCCAACCCGAUAAUUCGACCCAUGGGUGCCUGAGCUCAUGGGCACCUACCCCGAAUGGGUAGGGUAUGGAUCAUCAUCUUCAUCCUAAUUAACGUAGCAACGAUGCAAUAUUUUCAGCCUAUUGAACCUCCAAAAGCUGAAGGCAUGCAACACACAGUCUAAAAAAAGUGCAUGCUACCCUAGAAAAAAUCUAUUGCGUGCAUGUCAGUGAAUUGAUCAUAGGAGCAGGUUGUUUAGUACCACCUGGCUUGCUCUGGCGUCUAGUAGGUGGGGUUCUACUAUAUAAAGGAGACUAGGAGGUUCAAGAGGAAAUACAUCAACCAUGGCAUGCAUUGAACGAGUAAAAAGAAAACAUAAUAAAACGGCAGACCUGAUCGGUGCCUGAGUUGGUCGGGUUACUCAAUGGGUUCGGGCAUGGGUCACCCAUGGGUACGCUCCUAGGCAGGCGACAAACCCGACAAGGGAUUCGGGCAUGAGUCUAGGAGAGGUCGACCCGACCAAACCCGACCCGAUUGCCAGCCUGAGUUGCCGACUUUUAAAUUUUAAAAAAAUGUUCAUAGAUAAAAGAAAAGUUCACAAGUUUAAAAAUGUUCAAAGAUUUGAACAAAGUACACGAAUGUGACAAAAAAGUUCCCAAAAUUGAAGACAGUUCACGAAUUUGACAAAAAAGUUCAUGAUUUUAACACAAAAGUUCAUGAAUUUGACAAGAAAGUUCAUGAAUUUGAAAAAAAUUCGUGAAAUUGAAAAAAGUUCAUCGGUCUGAAAAAACUUCACGAAUUUGACAAAAAAAGUUCACGAAAUUGAUAAAAGUUUACAAAAUUAAAAAAAGCAUUUAUUUGAAAAAUAAAUAAUGAAUUCAACAAAUAAGUUCAUGCAUUUUUAAAAAGUUAAGGAAUUUAAGAAAAUGUUCACGAAUUUAAGAAAAUUAAAAAGAAAACAGUGUAUGUAGUUUUUUAUUUGAAUUUUUAUUAAAAGAAAAGCGCUUGGGUAGCUAGUCAUUGAAAUGACACACGGGUCCCUCGCUCCAUCCCUCAGUGUGGACCAGUCGUGUACGUUUCAUUCGUUCAUUCAAACACGAGUCAUUUUUUGUUUGCGUUUAGUUCAGUUUUUUUGGCCCAACAUGGUGACUCAUGCGACGAGAACCUAUACGCCAUGCAUAUAGACAACGUGGAAUGAAUAUCGAUCCAUCUUGUACAUGCAGACAUUUCGUUCAUCAUUUACUGAAACACGACUCACCUUUUGUGUUUAAUAUUUUUUUGUUUGCGUUAACUGUAUGUGUUUAACGCCACACACGACUCAUUUUGUUAACGCGGGGACAAGAAUGUGUUUUCUGAAGAAAAAUAAAAAAAGGAAUAAAAUCAAAGAAUAAAAGGGCCAAACAAAAAAAUAAUAAAAGAAGUAACUAGACACCACAAGAUAGUUUUCCCGGUUGGUUAUAGUGUGUGGAAGUAAACUAAGAGGUUGGGAGUUUGAAUCCUACCUCACGCAACUAUGUUUGAAGGUUAAAGAAAGAAAAAGGAAAAUGGGCCAGGCCCAAGACAGAGGUUGUGUUUGUCAGUUUGUGUGACGGGCCGGCGGAUCGGUUGUGUAUACAGCUGGUACGUGCCACAUACAUAGAUGGGUAUAUCUUAUAAUCAGAUGACCCUAUUGUCCUUAUACGGUUUGUGAGUGGGGUGUACUGAAGCAAGACUCAAAAUUUAAAUAAGAAUCGCUCAUUUCUUUCUUUCAAACCAAAGAGCUCUCCUCUCCGAUUUCAAAUAAGAAAGAAACCGAUAAAACGCCACACGACGCACCCAAGUAAAACCAGCAGGCACGAUAUUGGAAUCCUGCUCCUGCAACCAAUCAUCCAAAACGAACUUAAGUUCAACACUACAGGACUGAAACCAAAACAAACUCUUGACAUACACGACAUUACAUCCAACCAUGGCAGCUCCAAAAUAGCAUUUAGAACUACAAAAGGGGGCACUUUUUCCAGCAGCCUCAACCCAAGCGAAUAUGCCUUCCAUCCUCUACCACCACUGAGAAUACGGAAGCAGCCUCCUAUCGAGAAAUAUAUCCAGGUGUGGCGUCUUGCCCCCUGGUGAUUCCUCAAACGAAAAAAUGGGUAUUGGUUCUUGCCUUGGAGUUACUAGAGCUGAUUCAGGUGACCUGAGCCAGGGGGUUAAGUCAUACAAAGCUAUCCAACUUCUUUGGUUACAUCUAUCGCAGAUGUGGCAUUACCUAUAACUAUGUAUGUAUUUUCAAAGAUGAUGACGAUAAUAGGAUGUGGAUGAAGACAUCUUUGAUUCUUGUGUGCUUUGAUUAUAAAAAAGACAUGCUAGUAUGCCCUGAGUCUGCCCUAGCCUAAAUAUAUGAGCUAGCGUAAAUGUUUGAUAUGCACGAGAAACUAAGUAACCAGAUAUGAUUAUCUAUAUGUGGGUGUCAAUUGAUUUACAUGUAGUUGGCUAUUGGCAAAUGCAUAUGUGAUUGACAGAGACUGUUAAGGUAAGCAGUUGCUCCUCUAGGAUGUAUUGGCAUCCUUCAUUAAGUAAAUUAAUGUGUGCUCCAUGUCAUUCAUAUUGUUUUAUUCAGAAAGGGGAGAUAAGGCCGAUUGCUCAGGAUUUCAAUAUGAAUAUCUUAUAAUAAUGUUAGGUAGAUGUGUAAUUAAGUCCUUGAAUAUGCAUUUGUUGUAACCUGACAACAAUGUCAGAUGAUGUGUAAAUAGGUUAUGGAUGUAUGCAUGAGUACUAGUGUAGCACUUGACACUAAAAUAUGCAGUAGCAUAUAAGACCAACCAAGCAUUGAACUCAUUAGUUAUCAUGAUCGUCUCGGGGUAAUUGAAUAUAUGUGCGAUUUGCUCCUACCAUUCACAUGUAUAAAUGUACAAGCCAAGAAACGCAUAUACAUUUUCAGAUUCGAGCCCGAUGAGUUUCAUAAGACAACACCAUAGCAUAGGUCAUGGGGGAAGAAACAAGUACGUUGGGGCUUGAGAGGUAUCAGGAUAAUUAUUGCUUCGGUUCAGUCAUAUAGAGGAGGUACAGGAAUGAUAAUUGGAGCAAACUUUGGCAAAGCAAUUCGAGGACUACAACUCGCUUGAUGAAUGCUACCAGUGUGUGGGCAUACAACUCUCUAACAGACUGCUUGGGUAGUGUCUUGAAGAUGUUGCUAGAGCAGUAGGAGCCCGCGUCGCACCGGCGAUAGGUGGAACUGCUUCGCCUAGCAGCCUGUGUUAUCCUUCGCGAGUCGUUGGUAUGCAUCGUUUUGUACAAGUUCAUGCUUUAAUUUAUACCCAAAUCAGAAGAGUUUUCACCCGAUCCACAACUAGGUAAAUUGUCUUGUGCUGUAUUCAAAUAUUUGCCCCUCUGCUACCUUUCGUGCUACGCAGCCAAUCAUCUAAAUUCCAAAAUGAACUUAAGUUCAACACUACAGGACUGAAACCAAAACAAACUCCAACAAACACAACACUACAUCCAAGUCCAAACAUGACAGCUCCAAAACAGCGCUUACAGCUACUCCCUCUGUAAACUAAUAUAAGAGCCUUUAGAUCACUACUUUAGUAUUCUAGACGCCUUUAUAUUAGAUUACAGAGGGAGUAAAAAAGAAGGCUCUUAAUCCAGCAGCCUCAACACAAAGCCAAUACGCCUGACCAUCGGCCUCCGGCCUCCACCACCACUGAAUUCAGAAGCAACAUUACACAGCCAAUAAGACCUAACUCAUCGAACAGAAGAAACGGAAUUCCAAGUCAUAGACAGCAUUAGGACGCCACCAUUUCCUAGACAUGACACCAACAUAGGUACUGCCAUAAGACAGCAUGAGUCAGCUCACCACCAACCACCAUUAACAAGACAACAGCCGGCGACAAUAGUAGCUCGUCACCAUGUCUCGUGCUCAUCCAUUGGUUCCACGUCCAAUCAACCUUUUGCUACUUCAGACAGUCUUCUUACCCAGCAAUCUGGCAAUCAAAGCAAACAGAACCGGAAGUUACAUCAG
rnacentral:lncRNA from 1 species